GUUGAAUAGACAUGAACAUCUUUGUUUGACUAAUGUCUCUACUAGUAUAGGGUUCUGAGUAUGAGAACAAGGUGGUGAGUAUAUCUCUCUUUUGGUAGUGCAUAUGUUUAUAUAUAUUGUGAGUUGCAUUGACAUGAUCACAGUCAGAGUUACACAAAUCAGUCCCAUGGCUCCUCUUACACACUAGUUCUCUGUGUUAUUCAUUGGUUUCAUGGACGCUGAUGGAAGCUGUCCAAUUUUCUGGCACGCAUGCUAAUUUCUAAUUUGAGCAUUAAUAGGGAAUUACUCUUUUGUAAUAAAGUUUUAUUGAGAUCUGACAAUCUUUUCACUUUUCCUUUCUCUUCUUAAUAUGUGUAUUUAUUUAUUUAUUUUAUGUAGGGGGGAGUAGGGGAAGAUUUUCAUCUGGAAGGGGGACUGGAUACAGGAACGAAGGAUCUAAUGGGUACAGGAAUGAGGGACCUAAUGGGUACAGGAAUGAUGGACCUAAUGUUGGAUACCGGAAUGAUGCACCUAAUGGGUACCGGGGGGAUGGACCAAGAGGACGUGGAGGCUAUGGAGGUGGUAGAGGUUAUGGCCGCAGCGAUUUCAAGUCCGAAUUUGGAGGAAGGAAUACAGGUAGGGGAGGAUCAUCGGGCCGUGGAGGUGAUGGGUUUCAGAGGUCUGAGAAUGGUGGUCGUGUGAAUCGUGCUGGUGGACCGGCUGUUAAUGCAGCACCCAAAACUUCAGCUCCCCGGGUGUCUGCUUCUGCUUGAGAAAGAAGUUCAGCCCCCCUGAGUGUUGGCUUCUGCUCUGAGGGAUACAAAUGAUUUUUUGGAAGUAUGUUAAUGGUCAAGUUGUUCGAUAGCAUAUUAAGAGGGCUGUUUCUGAUCGUUUGGGGGAAGUGAACCACCUAGUAAAAACCAUAGGAUUUUCUUGGACCAUUUUUUGUUUGCGGUUUUCAUAUUUUAGCUGCUUUUUGGGUUUGAUAGUGGCCUUAGAUUUCUGCAAGUAGUGUUCCCUUAUGAACUACUUGUGGGUUUCUAUUCCCUUUAUUUGCGAAGGAAGUGAGAAUUAUUUAGGUUAGUUAGCAGUUUGCCUUUCUAGGUUCUACUGUACUGUGUUGU
rnacentral:lncRNA from 1 species